CAGCAGAGCCUCACAGAGCUACACAAGAGGAAUCUGGAUGGGAUCCUGACCCUGGUCCUUCCAACUUCUACUCUGCCCCAUCCCUGCCCAUCUCCCAGUCCUUGCACUCUCCUGAGGUUGGCAGCUGGGAAGAAAAAGCCUGAUGAUAUAUAGACAAGAGGAUAACUUCCAAAAAACUAUGAUUCCAUUCACCAGUUCAACUCCAUAUGGCUGUACCUGCAAAGGUUGUCAGAUUGGAUGGGGUUGACAUCUCCUGAAGAUUGCCUGACUGUAUUCAAAGACAUUGAAUUAAUUGGUUAAAAUCACCCUGGCAAACAAUUACUCUGCUUCUUUAGAGAAAAACCCCAAAAACUUUCCUGUGGGGAAAAGUGAUAUUAUAGAGAGAAAAAGAAGGAAUGUUCCAGUUUUUCUUCAGUUCAUGACCUACUUGCAUGUUCUUAUGAUCCCUACUUUUAUCCUGUCUAAUACAGACUUCUGAAGUUUCACUGACCAUUAUUUUCUGAACUGCAAAUAGGGAUCUGUGGUCUCACAAGUACAAGUGUUCUUAGUGGAGCUACAUGAGUCAAUAUUUUAAAUUGGGACAGCUCUAGAAAAAUGUAGGACAUAUGGUGACCAUACUCAGAGUUCUCAAAGCCAGAUGCUGACUGGCUCCAAGAGCAGAAAACCAAAACAAUCUGAAAUCUCUACUAUUUGCCAAAACAAAUCUUGUGUCUUUCCCAAUGUUAUUCCUGUAGAUAUCUUUGUUUGAAUUGGCCUGUUCACCAGUUUCAUUUCUGCUACCAUCUCUGGGGAUGAGGGAAAGAAAACACCUUGUGUUCACUUUGUUAACAAGGAACUAUCUUUCAGGUGCUUUACUGGAGUGACAGAAAUUAGGAAAUCUUUUUUCAUUCUUUCCUUCUUUUCUCCAUUUGGGG
rnacentral:lncRNA from 1 species